AGUCGCGUGGUCUAAUGGUUAUGAUUUCUCGUUCACAAUCCUCAGUUAUUGAGGAGGUUCCGAGAAGGUUCCCGGUUCGAUCCCGGGCGCGACUA